GGAGGUGGUACAGUGCAGCUUCAACAUUUGUGUGGUCUCUUUGCUCAAGCCAGAUGGCAUGUUCCACCCCACAUGGAAGUAACAGAAGACUACCCAGAAAAUGUCAUUUCUCUCUACCUACAAGGACUCCAACACUCUGCACCUCCCUACGGAGCGUUUCUCCCCUGUGCGCCGGUUCUCAGAUGGGGCUGCGAGCAUCCAGGCCUUCAAAGCUCACCUGGAAAAAAUGGGCAACAACAGCAGCAUCAAACAGCUGCAGCAGGAGUGUGAGCAGCUGCAGAAGAUGUACGGGGGGCAGAUUGAUGAAAGAACCCUGGAGAAGACCCAGCAGCAGCAUAUGUUAUACCAGCAGGAGCAGCACCAUCAAAUUCUCCAGCAACAAAUUCAAGACUCUAUCUGUCCUCCUCAGCCAUCUCCACCUCUUCAGGCUGCAUGUGAAAAUCAGCCAGCCCUCCUUACCCAUCAGCUCCAGAGGGGCUGCAUCUUCUUCCCAGUUUCAAGGCUUACCUUCCCGCAGUGCAAUCUUUCAGCAGCAACCUGAGAACUGUUCCUCUCCUCCCAACGUGGCACUAACCUGCUUGGGUAUGCAGCAGCCUGCUCAGUCACAGCAGGUCACCAUCCAAGUCCAAGAGCCUGUUGACAUGCUCAGCAACAUGCCAGGCACAGCUGCAGGCUCCAGUGGGCGCGGCAUCUCCAUCAGCCCCAGUGCCGGUCAGAUGCAGAUGCAGCACCGUACCAACCUGAUGGCCACCCUCAGCUAUGGGCACCGUCCCUUGUCCAAGCAGCUGAGUGCUGACAGUGCAGAGGCUCACAGUGCACAUCAGCAGCCGCCACACUAUACCACGUCGGCACUACAGCAGGCCCUGCUGUCUCCCACGCCGCCAGACUAUACAAGACACCAGCAGGUACCCCACAUCCUUCAAGGACUGCUUUCUCCCCGGCAUUCGCUCACCGGCCACUCGGACAUCCGGCUGCCCCCAACAGAGUUUGCACAGCUCAUUAAAAGGCAGCAGCAACAACGGCAGCAGCAGCAGCAACAGCAGCAACAGCAAGAAUACCAGGAACUGUUCAGGCACAUGAACCAAGGGGAUGCGGGGAGUCUGGCUCCCAGCCUUGGGGGACAGAGCAUGACAGAGCGCCAGGCUUUAUCUUAUCAAAAUGCUGACUCUUAUCACCAUCACACCAGCCCCCAGCAUCUGCUACAAAUCAGGGCACAAGAAUGUGUCUCACAGGCUUCCUCACCCACCCCGCCCCACGGGUAUGCUCACCAGCCGGCACUGAUGCAUUCAGAGAGCAUGGAGGAGGACUGCUCGUGUGAGGGGGCCAAGGAUGGCUUCCAAGACAGUAAGAGUUCAAGUACAUUGACCAAAGGUUGCCAUGACAGCCCUCUGCUCUUGAGUACCGGUGGACCUGGGGACCCUGAAUCUUUGCUAGGAACUGUGAGUCAUGCCCAAGAAUUGGGGAUACAUCCCUAUGGUCAUCAGCCGACUGCUGCAUUCAGUAAAAAUCAGGUGCCCAGCAGAGAGCCUGUCAUAGGGAACUGCAUGGAUAGAAGUUCUCCAGGACAAGCAGUGGAGCUGCCGGAUCACAAUGGGCUCGGGUACCCAGCACGCCCCUCCGUCCAUGAGCACCACAGGCCCCGGGCCCUCCAGAGACACCACACGAUCCAGAACAGCGACGAUGCUUAUGUACAGCUGGAUAACUUGCCAGGAAUGAGUCUCGUGGCUGGGAAAGCACUUAGCUCUGCCCGGAUGUCGGAUGCAGUUCUCAGUCAGUCUUCGCUCAUGGGCAGCCAGCAGUUUCAGGAUGGGGAAAAUGAGGAAUGUGGGGCAAGCCUGGGAGGUCAUGAGCACCCAGACCUGAGCGAUGGCAGCCAGCAUUUAAACUCCUCUUGCUAUCCAUCUACGUGUAUUACAGACAUUCUGCUCAGCUACAAGCACCCCGAAGUCUCCUUCAGCAUGGAGCAGGCAGGCGUGUAACAAGAAACAGAGAGUUUUGUGUACAGCUUGGGAAUGAAAAGCUUGAUUGUAAACCCACAGUAUCUAGCAGCGUUGCGCCAAAUUGCCCUUGUGUUUCUCUCCACCCAAAAUAUCACAGCUGCUUUCCUCACAUUUGGUUCAUCCGUGUGCUGUUCUUUUGGGUUCUGAGAGGGUUUUGCCAUGUUUGCUUGUAUGACCAAGUCACCAAGGAAAUAAACAGGAAGGAAAUCCAUGUUCUCCAUCUUUUGUGAAAGUAUAUUUGAGUUGGUGGUUUUUUGUUUUGUUUGGGGGUUUGUGUUUUGUAUUGUUUUUGGUAUGUUUUCUUCCAGAGGUGAUAUACUUUCUUUCUUUUUCUUCCUUUCUUUUUUUUCUUUCGUUCCUUUUUUGAAACAGGAGAGCAAAGCAGUUAGAGUUCAGAGGCCAGCGGCCUCAGGGCCACUCCCUCCCUAGCCUUCAUCAGCAGAGCACCCUCCAUCCCCCUGCAUUGCUCUUCUGUGAAAGCAAAUACUAAAGGAUGCCAUCCUCUGGAAUCCUAAUGGCAGGCAAAGGGAGAGAGGAAGGGUGACGGCUUCUGGCACUUAGAAAACAAAAAGAACAAAAAAAGAGAAACCCCCAAGCCUGGAACGCAGAGAGGUCUUUACUGCUGGGAUCCACGGAAAACAUGUCUGUCCCAGCCAAGAUCAUAUGAAGAGUUUGGCACGGAGGCUGAGAAUGACCUGGCAUAGAUGGUUUGCCAGUUAGAAUGUCUCAAUUUGAGCCUUUGCUUUUGGUGGAUAACUCAGUUCCCCUCUUGUAACCUGGAAAGUUGGUUGCCUUUAUCAUCCUGCUGGUUUUAUCCAUGGACUGAACACCCAACAUCAGUGCACUAUGCUUUCUAUGGCAUCUUUCAUUCUCAUUUUAUACUGUGCUAUAAAAAGGAUUGUUUCUCCAUAUAUAUAUUAUAUAUGUGUGUAUAUAUAUAAUAUAUAUAUAUUUAUAUAUAUAUAAUAUAUAUAUAUAUAUAUGCUCUCCUCUUUCAGCCUCUUUGUCACAGGGAAGAAGUGUAGGAGGUUGCCUUGGGCCCUGCCUCUCUCCUAACCUCCUCUUCCCCACUGGGUACCCUCAGCCCCUAUAUUUUAAUUCUUGAUCAUGUAGAAAUUGUUUUUGGUAAAUGUUGAUAUUAUUGUUAUUAUCAUUAUUAAUAAAGAGAAAAGGAAUUUUUGUUUAAAUGAGAAAUGUUUAACCAGAUUCUGUUCUAUUUGAAUUGUGACUUGCACCUUUUGUUCAAAGUAUUUCCUUUAGGCAUUGUAAUUGUGAACAGCUCUUACUUGUGCCAGUGACAGAUGCAGUGGUCUCCUUUCCCCAGUUGAAGCAGUGCAUACGCAAUAGCUAUUGUUUGUGUUAUCUUUAUUUCUCUUCAUUGUUAGAAACCAAAGUCUUCUCUGCUGGCUGGGGCUGAGAGAGGGUCUGGGUUAUCUCCUUCUGAUCUUCAAAACAAGAGAGAGACCUUGAAUACACUGACUCUUCCACCCUUUUUUUUUCUGGGAAAGGAGAGCAAGAGGUCCCGAGUCCCCUCCUAGUCUUUCAUCCUGAAUUUGCACAGAGGAAAGCGGGUGCCCGGCAUGGCCAUCCUGAUGUUGCUGGCGGGAUCCCCAUGCACCUUGUCCUUCUCCACUGAUACUGGCAGCUCGGCUUCUGGACCCAAGAUCCCUUGAGUGGAAUUCUGCAGUGCAAGAGCCCUUCGUGGGAGCUGUCCCAUGUUUCCAUGGUCCCCAGUCUCCCCUCCACUUGGUGGGGUCAUCAACUACUCACCAGAAGGGGGCUUACCAAGAAAGCCCUAAAAAGCUGUUGACUUAUCUGCGCUUGUUCCAACUCUUAUGCCCCCAACCUGCCCUACCACCACCACGCACUCAGCCUGAUGUGUUUACAUGGUACUGUAUGUAUGGGAGAGCAGACUGCACCCUCCAGCAACACCAGAUGAAAGCCAGUGAGCCUACUAACCGUGCCAUCUUGCAAACUACACUUUAAAAAAAACUCAUUGCUUUGUAUUGUAGUAACCAAUAUGUGCAGUAUACGUUGAAUGUAUAUGAACAUACUUUCCUAUUUCUGUUCUUUGAAAAUGUCAGAAAUAUUUUUUUCUUUCUCAUUUUAUGUUGAACUAAAAAGGAUUAAAAAAAAAAAUCUCCAGACUCAAGUUGCUAA
rnacentral:sRNA from 1 species